UACGAAGGGGACUAGCGUUGUUCGGAAUUACUGGGCGUAAAGCGCACGUAGGCGGAUUUGUAAGUCAGGGGUGAAAUCCCGGGGCUCAACCUCGGAACUGCCUUUGAUACUGCAAGUCUCGAGUCCGAUAGAGGUGGGUGGAAUUCCUAGUGUAGAGGUGAAAUUCGUAGAUAUUAGGAAGAACACCGGUGGCGAAGGCGGCAUCCUGGACCGGCAUUGACGCUGAGGCGCGAAAGCCAGGGGAGCAAACGGG
rnacentral:rRNA from 1 species